rnacentral:rRNA from 1 species
AAUGAACGCUGGCGGCGUGUCUUAAGCAUGCAAGUCGUGCGGCAAGGGUAGCAAUACCCCUAGAGCGGCGGACUGGUGAGUAACGCGUGGGUGAUCUGCCUCUGGGAUGGGGAUAGCCACUAGAAAUAGUGGGUAAUACCGAAUACGUUCACCGAACUGUGGUUUGGUGAGGAAAGGCGCUUCGGCGCCACCCGGAGAUGAGCCCGCGUCCCAUUAGCUAGUUGGUGAGGUAACGGCCCACCAAGGCGAUGAUGGGUAGGCGGCCUGAGAGGGUGUACGCCCACACUGGGACUGAGAUACGGCCCAGACUCCUACGGGAGGCAGCAGCUAAGAAUAUUCCGCAAUGGACGAAAGUCUGACGGAGCGACGCCGCGUGGAUGAAGAAGGCCGAAAGGUUGUAAAAAUACCUGUCGACCGGGACGAAUGCACUCGACCUAAUACGUCGGAAUGUUGACGGUACCGGUGGAGGAAGCCACGGCUAACUACUGUGCCAGCAGCCGCGGUAAU